rnacentral:rRNA from 1 species
GCUAUUGGAGUUCGAUUAAGCCAUGCGAGUCGAGAGUCCUCGGGACUCGGCGUACCGCUCAGUAACACGUGGGUAGCCUGCCCUAUGCUGGGGAAUAACCUCGGGAAACUGAGAAUAAUGCCCCAUAGCCCACUACGCCUGGAACGGUGAGUGGGUCAAAGCUCCGGCGGCAUAGGAUGGGCCUGCGCCGUAUCAGGUUGUAGGGGGUGUAAAGUACCCUCUAGCCAUCAACGCGUACGGGUGUUGGGAGACAUUGCCCGGAGAUGGAUUCUGAGACACGAAUCCAGACCCUACGGGGUGCAGCAGGCGCGAAAACUUGGCAAUGCGAGCAAUCGUGACCAGGGAACUCCAAGUGCGUAGGGUAAGACCUACGCUUUUCUUGACUCUUCAAAGGUCUUGGAAUAAGGGGUGGGUAAGGACGGUGCCAGCCGCCGCGGUAAUACCGGCGCCUCAAGUGGUAGUCGCUUUUAUUGGGCCUAAAACGUCCGUAGCCGGUCUGGUGCAUUCGUGGGUAAAUCAACCCGCUCAACGGGUUGAAUUCUGCGAGCACGGCCAGACUUGGGACCGGGAGAGGUGUGGGGUACUCUCAGGGUAGGGGUAAAAUCCUGUCAUCCUGAGAGGACCACCUGUUGCGAAGGCGCCACACUAGAACGGAUCCGACGGUCAGGGACGAAACCUAGGGGCACGAACCGGAUUAGAUACCCGGGUAGUCCUAGGUGUAAACGCUGUGGACUUGAUGUUGGGGGCGCUCCGAGCGCUCUCAGUGUCGAAGCGAAGGUGAUAAGUCCACUGCCUGGGGAGUACGGUCGCAAGGCUGAAACUUAAAGGAAUUGGCGGGGGAGCACUGC